GGCCCAGCGGAGCAACGCUAUAAUGCAGCCCAUACCCGGACGAGGCAGGUCAUUGAGCGAACCUUUGGAAUCCUCAAGGGACGCUUCAGGUGCCUGCACCAAUCCGGGGGUGUUCUGCAAUAUAGCCCAUCAAUGUGCGCCAGAAUAGUGGUGGCAUGUGCGGUGCUGCACAACAUGUGUGUCCGGCAUGGCAUUGGCCUCGACGCUACUGAUGAUGACCCUGUUUUCGACGAGGGCGGGGAUGACCCUGAGCCACCACGCCUGCAAGAAGACACAGCAGCUGGGAUUGCCGUACGUCGCCGGGUUAUCGAGGCCAUGCAUUCAUUGGCUGUGCAGACGUAAUGACAUGACAACGGACAGUCAUCAUCAUGUGCUCUGUGGCUCAAGCAAGGGUGACAGAUGAACAGGGACUACCAGUGACUGUUCCGGGCUCUUCACUGCACAAGUCAAAUUGAAAAGUACAUCACAAUGACUGGAAA